UGAUGCCCUUGAAAAUGUCCAUGUCAUCAACCCCAACAAUAAUCUUUUUCCCCUCAAACUGCUUUUGAAUUUCUUUAACCUUGAUGGAAGAAGAGGGGUGAUUUAGAGCAGACUCUAAUCGGCCCAUAUGAACUCCGACAGGCAAAAUUUUGAUGUAUACUGUGCGUCCAAAAUACUCAAGUCCAAUAUGACCACGUUUUGAUUCAUAGUCUAGGCCCAACAUUCGGCUGCAACAGGACAGAAAGUGACGAGCAUAAUCAAAUGUAUGAAAACCAAUUAAAUCUGCAUUCAGCAGUGCUUUUAGAAUUUCAUUUCUGACUGGCAGAGUUCGGUAAAUUUCUGAUGAAGGGAAUGGGCUGUGAAGGAAGAAGCCAAGCUUAACUCGAUAGAAACGCUUCCUCAAGAAAGUAGGGAGCACCAUUAGGUGAUAGUCAUGAACCCAAAUGAACCCAAACAUAAUCUUCUUCAGGAUUGAUCACUUCCAUAACCUUAUCCGCAAAAACUUUAUUAGCAGAGACAUAGGCCUGCCAAAGCAACUUGUCAAAGCGAUCACCAUGAUCAG
rnacentral:misc_RNA from 1 species